AGCAACCCGUUUGGUUCUCCUUCCCUGUGGUGGAGUGUUUGUUCUGUGGUGGAGUGUUUGUUCUUUUAGUUUGCACUAUGUUGCAAUAAAUGUUAUUGGUUACUGUGGGCUUAUAUUGUCUUUGUGAGCUGUAACACUCACUACGAGGGUCUGCACCUUUACUCUUGAAACUAGUGAGACCGUGAACCCACUGGGGGGAAGGAACAAUUCCAGACGCGCCGCCUUAAGAGCUGUAACACUCACUGUGAAGGUCUGCAGCUUCACUCUUGAGCUAGCGAGACCACUAACCCACCAGAAGGAAAAAACUCCGGACACGCCGCCUUUAAGGACUGUAACACUCAACGCGAGGGUCCACGGCUUCGUUCUUGAGAAAGACGAGGAGGGAGCGGCUAGAGGGAUGGAAAUGGGAUCACAUGACCUUACGAGAGAGAACACAGGGAGAGAGAGAACACUGCGUCUGCUCCCUUUUAGAGCAGCUCAAUAUAGGGAAUCCCUAACAGAGGACUUCCAGGAUAUCCUAGGGACAGCAGAGCCUCAAGAUCCAGGGAGGAUCCUGGAUACCUGAGUCACCACUUGGAGGGGAAUCUCCUGGAAGAACUGAUUGAUCAGCAACAUCUACAUUCAACUUGAGGUUGUUCCGUAAGACAGGAUGGCACAGAGCUUUAAGCAACAGCUCUGGCAUCUGACUUCCGUGUUUGCAUCUGGCUUUGAAUGUGACUUUGGACAAGUUCCUUAGCUGGCCAGAUACUCUUGUCCUCAUCCAUAAGAUGGAACAACAACGAAGCCUUUCUCAUAGGUUAUUGUGAGGAUUGAAUGAAUUAGUAUAUGCCAAGCAUUUGAAGCAGUGCCUGACAUGUAGUAGAUGCUGAGUAACAUUGGGGAUCUGCCUUUUCUUUUUCCUGUAUGUGACUGGCAGCCUGAACCAGACCACAUCAGCUGAGAUGAUUUUCUCUGUAAGUUACCAGGAUCACCUAGAUCUGGCCAAGGACUUGCCCCGUAAGGAAAUUUGGAAUAAGCAAAAAAGAUCACUAGGUGUUGCCGAUGGAAAACUAGGUUGUUCUGAGCAUACCUUUGCAUGUUAUCUGAUUUUAGCCUUUCAGGGUCUUUGAGCUAUUUUAUGGCUCUGUAAGUUGUACAUAACUGAUAGCAAUGCAAAAUAAUUCUUGUCUAUAGACAUGCAAAUAAAUCCUGUCCAGCGGUUCAAUUGACUACCCUCUUCCCUAAGGAAAAAGCCAGUUUCAGUCUAUUUGUAAAUUCAUUUCCACUUUCCUUACUCCCUAUAAAUUUCUGCUUUUCAGAUUUCUCCUUUGUUAACUUCUGCCUGGUUCCCUCAUUAAGUCAAAUAAAAUCUUUAACAUAUGUUAAAGUAUGAGAGUCAUGAUCUCCCCUGUUUUGGGAAAAUUAUCUUUUAAUACUUCUGAUAGGAAAGUUUCCUAAGCAGACCAAAAAGUAGGUACCACGGUCCCGUCUCCUGGUGGUGUGACCUUGAUCCAGCUAUUUUUCUAUCCUGGUCCCAGUUUUCACAUCUAUGAAAUGGGAGUAACAUUAUACACCUAAGAGUACGCCUGAGUAUUUCUAAGAAAUAUAUGGAAAGCAUCCAGCCUCCACCUGGGCACAGAGAAGCUGCUUAAGGAAAAGGAGCUGGCAUUGUUGCAGGGAUGGUGAUGUUUAAUCCUGGUUAUUGGUAACUCAGUCAGCAGAGGUAGCAUAGGUGUUGAAACACAGGGAGGAGGACAACAGACAGGAUGUGCUUUCUAGGCUAACAUGGAUGGGAACAGAGAGGAGAGGAGACCUUCCUGGGCUGAGCUGCCUGUCACCUACCCGUGCACUCAGCACCUCUGCAGCUGUCACUGGACACAUCCAACCCAGAGUGCAAUUGACAUGGGAAAAAACUGCACAUGUAGACGUUUCAGAGUGGUGAGAGUAUGUUGGCAUGGAGAUGGCUGCGUCUGCCCUUGUCAGGAUGAAGGAGGGGACGGUCAGUGAGGUGCCAGGAAAAGAAGUGCAAAUCUGGGUGUGUCGGCUUGUUUCCCGGGGAGGUGUUGCUUUGCCCUGGGCAGAUGUGAUCAUCUGGCUCUUUGUUCAGCAUCUUCUGUGCUGCAACUCUUAGCUAGUCCCUAGAUUAUUCAUCAGCCAUGCAACCACUUGGUUAGCUUGAGUCUGUUCCCUCCACCUGGAGAAACCUUGGUGCACUCAUAAAAUGGGGUCUGCCCUGCUCAAAGGAAGAGCAGGCUGUGUGCUGGUUGUCAAAUCAGGAAUGUAACUGCUUUGAGGCAGCAGUAAAGUGCUAGACCAGCCUUCUAGACCUAAUACAUAGUCCAGCAAAUUUUAUCUCUAACUGUUCCUAGUUUUCACUCUCCCUGGCUUUGACCUGAGAAAGAGAGCAAUCGUUUGAAAAGUAUUAAUGAUACUUUUCCCUUUGUUUCUUAGCCUAAAUCAGCAUCCAGCGGCCUUGAGGAAAAAGACUGAGGUUGCUACAGAGGAGAGCAGAAAGAAAAAGGGAGCUAACGUUCAGCUUUUGAUAUUCAAAAUGAGAUUUCUUGGCAAAAUAAUAGGAGAGGAAAAAAUUUUUCCAAGUUUCUUUAGCUCCUAUUUAACAGAUCAAGACUGGCUUUGAUGUGUUGCUCCAGUUCCCCUACCCUCUCCUGCCCUGCUUAGGGCUUGCCUCUUGGUUACAUAGAGGGAGCAGUUGUGGGGAGGAAGAGGCCACCUCUGCUGGUCUACAGUCAAGGUAUUAUCUGGGGCUGGGGUCUCAUCUGAAGACUCAACUGGAGAAAGAUCCACAUCUAAGCUCAUGUGAUUGUGGGGGAGGAAGGGAGGGAGAAGGAUAGAGAGGGAGGUGCUGUGCUUUCUUCCCUGAGCCUUGGGAGGUGGGAGGUCUGGAGGUGGCCUUGAGACCAGCCUGCUAGGAGGUUAUGGGACCUGAGGGGCAGGGGAAAGCUUUUGCCCAGCUACAGGUGGAGUGUGGUCACAUCUCACAUGCUCAGCCUGCUUGGGCUGAAGGAGGCCUGAACAUUUCCAUCCCCAAGCUGACCUCAGUUUACACUUGUUAGAGUAGCUGAUGGAUUGCUGAGAAGCUGGCUACUGGGGAGGACAGUCAUUGUGGUUAGUGUUUUUUUUUUUUUUUAAGAGGUUGGGCAAUGUUGAGGUCAUCCUGCAAAAAGCCUGGGGUCCUGCUUUCCUAACCUUCAGCACCCCUUGAGUGUGGUGGAAGAGGGCUUUGAGUCUUGAGCAGUCAGAGAAACCACGUUGUGACUUGCUGCAAGGGCAAAUGACAAAUGAUGGCCAGGCAAACCACCUAGGGACUUUGUCAGGCAAGACACAGGACUGUGGAAGUCACAGGAGGUAUGGGGCAGCUGUCCCUCCUGGCUGGAGAACACAGCCAGGUAUGCUCCUCCCCACUGACACCCAAUCCCAUGUGGCACACAUCUCAAGGUCUGCCCUCAGUCCAUUCAUCCACUCAGGCUCCAAGAGACUCAAACCCAAGUGACUGAAUUGGAUGGAGAUUAAUGCAUGGGGUUGCAAUCAAGUACUUCCCUCCCCACCCCCACUGCUUUCUCCCUGCUACUUAGCUAGUGGGAGUUUGUGUAGACAGCACAUCUCUUAUAGGCAAUAAAGUACUAGUGUGAGGGAUUUUGUGGGAUGCUCCACAAGGCCUGUGAUCCUCCUCUUACUAUCCCCACCCCGAUGUUUUUCCUUUGCUCACCAGGGCUGGCCAGGAAGGCUGCCUCUUCCAACGUCCCCAAGGCAACCACUCUAUGUCAGCAAGGACUCCUGAACCCAUGGCAACCCACCAGCUGCUGCUCUGGGAAGUGAGACCUUACCAGCUUGCUGCCUCCCCAGCAAUGCAGCUGCCCUGCUGGUCAGGACAACCUCUCAGGAGGGUAUCAGGCCCUGGUGUACAGUCCUUUCUUCUAGAAAGAGACAAACAGUGCAAUCACCACAGCCUCCCACUUCUUCUUAGACAGAUCUCACAUCAGAUUCACAGGGGCUUCCUGGGAACAUAAUUCUGUUGAGCCUUAGAAAUCAGGUAGGAUUUUGACUGAUUUGGGAGGUUGGUUAAUUUUACCUUUAUUUUGUUCUCUACAGCUGCUGUUAAGCCUGGCUUAGGGGUCCACCCUUUCCCAGCCCCCUUCCCUUUCUUUAUAACCUGGAUUUUGCACAAUCUAUAUCUCUCUAUAUCUCUGCAUCCAUCCAUCCAUCCAUCCAUCCAUCUCCCUCCCUUUGCCCAUUUGUCUCUUUCUUGAUAUAGGCUAGACUUUCCCAAAGUAAUUUCAACAAAAAGUAAAGGAAAAAAUCAAAUGAGAUGCACACCUUUCUCUCCAAGCCACAAACAGUGCAUAACAUCAUCAGGUAGUCAGGCUUCUGAAGGUUCUCUACAUACGCCUGAUCUCUCCAAUAGCUAAGGCUCUCACUUUCAGUGUGGUUAGUGGUUAGGGAAAUGGACUUGAGAGCUGGACUGUCUGGGCUCAAUUCUCAGCUCUGGUACUGGUCUCAUGGCCUUGGGAAAGUGUUUUGUUGUUGUUGUUUUGUUUUUACAUUUCUCUGCCUCAGUGCUUCUUCGGUAAAAUGGGAAUAAAAAGAGUAACUGUCUCAU